rnacentral:lncRNA from 1 species
CUAAUUUUACCAAAACACAGUUUUUGUUCUCUCCAUCAAGGAACCUCUGCUUUCUGCUCUCGCCAUCAAAUUGUUAGUCCCAAUAAUAAUAAUAAUAAAUAAACAAAAUUGAAAACAACUUACUCGGAUAUGUCCUUAAAUCACACCAGUGACUAAGGUUCUAUACUAAAACCUAUAAACCAAGCCAUCUAGUGACAAAUUACCUUGAGAGUUCUCUUGGUGAAUCUCCUUCACCUUCCAUUACUAUUUUUCUAUCAUUUUCUCUUUCUUUUCUAGAGGGGUUAACCUCAUUUUAUAAAGAACACAUUUAUUUUGUAACUCUCACAUUCAUAGUCUAUAGGAGUUGAGAUCCAAUUGUAACUCAUGCCUUAAUUUCUUUAAAUGCAGCUAAUUAGGAUUAACAAAUUGUUG